AAUAAAGCAAUGAGAUGGAAAGUACAGAUGAAACGAUAUCUAACAGAGAGCUUGGGUAGCUGAAAACAAGCGGUAAACGACAUCUAGAAAAUGGCCAUUGAGCAGCGCUUCGAGUGAAUCAUUCAUAAGACAGCGACGGAUGUACCCGUUAUAGUACUAGAGUAUAAGCGAUCACAGAUUGCCGUACUUGAUGAGGAUAUCUAUGUGAGUGGAUAUCAAAUAGAGGUGGUAGCACGCAAAAGCGUCCUCAAA
rfam:Enterococcus rotai strain LMG 26678 genome.